rnacentral:lncRNA from 1 species
UCUUUUUUUUAGGGGGAGGUAGCAGAGGGAGAGGGACAGAGAGAGUCUGAAGAAGGUUCCACGUCCAGCAUGGAGCCUGACUACAGGCUCAAUUUCACAAUCUUGAGAUCAUGACCUAAGCCAAAAUCAAAAGUUGGACAUUUAAAACAAAACAAAACAAAACAAAACAAAAGUUGGACAUUUAACCAACUGAGCAACCAACUAUACCCUCUUUCUUUUGUUUGCUGUCCUUUGCUCUGUUGUAUACUCAGAGAACAAUGUUUUUGAAGAUUCUAAGCUCUGGAAGAAUAAGCGUGGAUUAUGACAAAAAUUUCUCAGGGUGCUGGCAGGUGGCCCAAUGCCACGCAUCUGGAAACCUACCCUGGACAUGUGGUGUUUCCUCCACUUACAGAGACCUGAGGGUGAGGAAAGAGAAAGUUUCCCAUUUCAAAGCUACAGAUCUUCCUUCUUUGAUACCCAAGCCUGAGUCCCAGAUCUCAUUGUCCUUUCUUUGUUUCAGCAGAAGCUUAAAAGAGUCUUUUGAUAUACAAAGGCAGGCCCAAUACAAGUGCAAAAUGAAAAGCCCAAUUUCUCUGCAUAAUAAAGUAAAGAGAAUUGAUGGUCACCUGAAAUAAGGUAAAAGUGGUAUUAAGAGGGUAACUGAAACAGGAGUGGAAGGGGCAGAAAUGACCACGGAACAUGUAAGUCCCAGAGGAACUGGAUAAUAGAACCAAUUUGAUUUAAAUUGCAAAAAAGCGAGGUGACCUUAGCUACCAUUUGGGUUAUGCAAUUCACCUCUCUUAACAGAACAUGCAGGCUGAGCACAACUUUCUCUCCACAGAAUAAACGUUGGGAACUGAGUCA